CACAUAGAUAAUGUCAUCUAAUUGGUCAGGUACAUGAUUUGGAUAAUCUGGAUGGCAAUGGAACUAUAAAAUAAAGCUGUGUGUUUGGCUGACAUAUUUGAUGUGUUUGAGUGAGUUGUGUUUCUGAUCAGUCUAUUGUGAACCAUCUUCCGUCUCCUAUAGCUAUAGUCAUUCAAGGCAGCCAUGGUGUUUUACAUAAUUUGAUCACUACGUGAUGUGUCAGGCAUAGUUAUACUGAAGAAUUGUUGUUUUCUCAAACUCUUGAAUUUUAAAUCUACAAUAAAAGGUUUCUGUGUGGUCUUCUCUGGCAUUUUUUUCUUCCUGUAUAUUGGUUUCCUGAGACCUUGUUUAGUCUGAUUGCAGUAAUUUUCACUUCCAGCUCUUUUCUGUCAAUCAAACCCUUAAGAAUUCUUCCCUAUGGGCCAGACAUUGUUCCAAGCACUUCAGAAAUAUCAAUUAUUUUAAUUCUCACAACAACUCUUUGAGAAGAUAAAGAAUGCCUUCCUGCUGCGGUGAAGAUGCUUUUGGGAUUAUGUUACUUGGAAAGAAUGGCAGUUGAGAACUGCCUGGUGGAGCAAAUUCAGAGUGGCAGCAUUCAAGAAUAUUUAUCAAGACAAAGUGCUGACUUCACACACUCAGAAGGGUGUGGUAUACCAUUUACGGAUUGGAAGAGGUAGGAGGAGUCUUGGAGACAUUUCAAUAUAUUUAUAUGGCAAGUAUUUAUUGAGUAUCUACUCCAUGCUGGCUUAUGAUAGGUACUUUAGAAUGGUAAGCAACAUAUU
rnacentral:lncRNA from 1 species